GAGUGACUUCCACUGGGCCGAGGAGCGGAGAAACGGCGGCGGGCUCCGCAGAAAACUCCAAAGAGACUGAUUCCCGGCGAGCCAGGAGAGAGAAAUGAGAAAGCUUUUCAGAGCCACCCCAAGAUGGCGAGCAGAACAGGAAACGACCUCUCAGAUGUCCAUGGCCACUGUGUGCUGUUGAAACAAGUCUCAAGGGAAGUCCCUUUCCUGACUGCUGAUAACAGAGGAAGAGGAAGGAAUGCCAUGCUAUGCACCACACGCUUUCUUCUCCCACUGCCCCUUACAGUUGAUACCUCUUCACUCCAAUCACAAUUCCCUAUGGGGAUUAAAAGAAGUUAGACAGUUGCUGCCAGAGUCCUGACAUAUGAAUGUUGACCGUGUGAUACAUCGUGGCCAUGAUGUGUUGAUGCAAACAUUCCAAGAAAUACCUGGGCUUCAUUGGACUUUGUCAGUGCAUAGUCAAAGAAACUGAGUAUCUUCGUUUCGGCUUUGCUGAGGAUUAUGGCUGAAUGCUUAGGUUAAGAAUGCAUUGAUAAAAUAGUUGAAUUGGUCAUCCAUAACUAAGCCCCAGAACUGAAGGGCUAAGUUGAAGUUAUUGUACAAACUACACUGGCUUUAGAAAUAACAUUUCCACCUGGGAAGCAUUUGUUUCAGCCAAAUAAGAAAAUGUGGACUGGCCCAAACGUGGGAAAAGGCAUACAAUGGACCUGCCUACGGGUGUUAGAAUCUAAUUAUAAAAUAGAGUUCAGAGUAUUCGUUUAUUUAUUCAUUUCAUUUUUCCACCUGUAAAAGUUCUACUUUGCUUCAAAAUCCAGCUCAGAUAGCACUUCCGUGUGAAUUCAUCCUGUACCCUUCCAAGCAAUAUUAAUUAUUUUCUCCCCUGGAUUCCCAUAGCAUUUUGUUCAAAUUGCUGGCAUAGUGACAUCACAAUAAAUUAUAGUUCGUGAGUUUCUCUGUGAUAAAUUGUGAGCACUUGAUUGUAUAGUGUCUGGAAAGGUAAAAAUUAAUAAAAUGCAACUCUUACCUUAAAUAGCAUAUAAUUGAUUGUGAGCACAUAGCUCUAAAUCUCAGAAUGAAACCAUCAUUGACAUUUUAAUAAGAACUUGAUACUGGACACAGAGAUUAAUAGAAUGGAAGAAGAAACUGGAAAGGUAAGAACAGAGCAGAGGCAAAAGGCCUUGAACAGUAUACCAAGGAUAUUGUUCUUCAUCCAGUAAGCACUGGGGAGCACUGAAGGUUUUUGAAGAGGGGGCAUGACCACCUGGACAGAGCUAUAUUUUAAGAAAGUAGCAGAGGCACCAGUGUAGGGAGUAAACUGGCAACUGAGAGGCUGAUAAGAGAGACCAGCCAAGAACCAGGAAGGCCCUAAAUAGCGGAGCAGAAAAAAAAAAAAAAUAGAAAGAAUUGCAUAUGUUAGACAUUGUGGAAGUAGAAUCAAAAGAACCCAGAAAUUGCUUGAAUAUUCAGAAUGAGGGAGCAAGAAAAGUCUGGAAAAGGAGAAGGCAGGACAGAGAUUUGCAAUGUCCACCACUGGGCUCAUCAUCAUUGCAGUGCAACAGGUGCACCCACCAAAAAUAUUAACAGAGAAGCAAACACCACUAAAAAUGAGUCACCCAAGAGGUUUUCUACUUUAUACUUCGUUAUCUGGAAGAGCAAAGAUUCUAAUCAGAAAGAAGUUAUCUUAGACUUACUCUUUAGCAGUCGAAAAUCCAAGUAAAUACAACUGGAUAGAACUCAGAGUAAAUCGGUAAGACACCAGUCUGCAUGAGCAUGCUUUCCCAAAUUUCACUCCAAACAUAGCUUGAGCAUUAAUAUUUAAGACAGUAAAUGUUCAUUUUUACUAUAACUAAAUGCGCAAGAAGUUCAACAGUCCUAAGGGCCAACAAUUCUGUAAAAGAAAACAGGUUUCUAAAAAUAAUGUC